GUGAGGAAUAUUGGUCAAUGGGCGAGAGCCUGAACCAGCCAAGUCGCGUGAAGGAAGAAGGAUCUAUGGUUCGUAAACUUCUUUUGCAGGGGAAUAAAGUGCAGGACGUGUCCUGUUUUGUAUGUACCCUGAGGAUAAGGAUCGGCUAACUCCGUGCCAGCAGCCGCGGUAAUACGGAGGAUCCGAGCGUUAUCCGGAUUUAUUGGGUUUAAAGGGUGCGUAGGUGGUUUGAUAAGUCAGCGGUGAAAGUUUGCAGCUUAACUGUAAAAAUGCCGUUGAAACUGUCGGACUUGAGUGUAAAUGAGGUAGGCGGAAUGCGUGGUGUAGCGGUGAAAUGCAUAGAUAUCACGCAGAACUCCGAUUGCGAAGGCAGCUUACUAAGCUACAACUGACACUGAAGCACGAAAGCGUGGGGAUCAAACAGGAUUAGAUACCCUAGUAGUCC
rnacentral:rRNA from 1 species